GGUCCAGAGGCAAGUGGAGUGCUGUUUUGAAAGGGUUGAAAUGCAGUGCGCAGUGCAGGACGUCUCGACCCGAGCUGCCUCUGCAGUGACUCUGGUGGUGUGGAUGAUACUGGCUGCACUGUUGGAGCUUGGACUCGGAGAGGAACACGUGAGCACAAUCCUGAUGAUGAGCCUUCAGUUGACUAAGAUGACAAACGGUGCC